AUGGUUUAACCCCCUCCUCUACUA
rnacentral:tRNA from 2 species